GAUGAACGAUGGCGGCGUGCCUAAUACAUGCAAGUCGAGCGAACGGACGAGAAGCUUGCUUCUCUGAUGUUAGCGGCGGACGGGUGAGUAACACGUGGAUAACCUACCUAUAAGACUGGGAUAACUUCGGGAAACCGGAGCUAAUACCGGAUAAUAUUUUGAACCGCAUGGUUCAAAAGUGAAAGACGGUCUUGCUGUCACUUAUAGAUGGAUCCGCGCUGCAUUAGCUAGUUGGUAAGGUAACGGCUUACCAAGGCAACGAUGCAUAGCCGACCUGAGAGGGUGAUCGGCCACACUGGAACUGAGACACGGUCCAGACUCCUACGGGAGGCAGCAGUGGGGAAUCUUCCGCAAUGGGCGAAAGCCUGACGGAGCAACGCCGCGUGAGUGAUGAAGGUCUUCGGAUCGUAAAACUCUGUUAUUAGGGAAGAACAUAUGUGUAAGUAACUGUGCACAUCUUGACGGUACCUAAUCAGAAAGCCACGGCUAACUACGUG
rnacentral:rRNA from 1 species